GCCCAGGCGCCGCAGCGCCGCCGCCGCCGCCCCGGAAGGCCGGCCCGCCGCGCCGUAGAGCAGCCCGCGGGCCCGCCGCAGCAGCGGCAGCACGCAGUCCUCCACCUCGCCGCUCAGCGCCAAGGAACUGGCUCCUCCUGGUUUGUGCCUGGGGUAAGAGGCUCAGAGACCAUCCUGACAUCACUGUGACUGUGACUUCUCCAGGCUCAUGCGCUGUGAAGUUAUCGUCAUCUCUGCUCCUGCAAAGAGGUACAGGCUGGAACCUGCUCCAUAUCUUCUGAGGACAGAGAAGAUCUGUCUUUGAUUGCAUUUAAACUGAAGGGAAAGAGAGUGGAAACAAGAUGCAGCCAUGUCAAGUCUCAAGGAACGUGUGAUGUUUGCCUGCUGCUGCUGCAAGCACCUUGCUUGGUGACGCAGCCCAUCUGGUGCUGCAGGCGUAGGAGAGAUCCCGCAGCACUACAGUUUGUCUUACACUGGGGAUGGGCAGAGCUAACUGAGACACAGGAGAUCCCCCCCUUGACAGCGAUCCUCUGCUAAGCCUGGGGAACACUGCAGGAUCUGACCUUCCUUCUUUGAAAAAUGAUUACGAAUUCUCUGUCUGAGAUGAAUAAUAGGUCAAAUAUGGUAUGUGACGGCUCUGUAGACUCCGAAGAUAUAAUAUGAAGAAAUGUAUUGUUCUGGAAAGCUGGCAUAAGAACGCUACUGAGGAUUUAGAAGCACCUCGACUAUCAGACAGGAAACCUGUGGUCCCAUCCCCUGGUUCAUGCUAGUGGCGACAGGACUUUCUUCCAAGCAGUUUCACGGACAGAGCGUUGUGAAAUCUGACAUUUGUAGCCCUAAAUCUUGGUUCUGUUUGCCGUGUAAAACCUUUCCUGCCACAUGCAUUUUUUAUGAACGGAUUGAGAAACGUGAGAAAUAAAGCCUGUCUCUCCAAGCCGUGCUGCCGCGUGCAGAGCAGGGCUGCUCAGCCAGCACGGGCAGCCCCAGGGAGCCGCGCAGGGCCCUGCGCACGAGGCCCUGCGCACGAGGCCCUGCGCACGAGGCCCUGCACACGAGGCCCUGAGCACAAGGCCCUGCGCACGAGGCCCUGCGCACGAGGCCCUGCGCACGAGGCCCUGCGCACG